UACGGGGGGGGGCAAGCGUUGUUCGGAAUUACUGGGCGUAAAGGGCUCGUAGGCGGCCAACUAAGUCAGACGUGAAAUCCCUCGGCUUAACCGGGGAACUGCGUCUGAUACUGGAUGGCUUGAGAUUGGGAGAGGGAUGCGGAAUUCCAGGUGUAGCGGUGAAAUGCGUAGAUAUCUGGAGGAACACCGGUGGCGAAGGUGGCAUCCUGGACCAACACUGACGCUGAGGAGCGAAAGCCAGGGGAGCAAACGGG
rnacentral:rRNA from 1 species